rnacentral:rRNA from 1 species
CCUACGGGAGGCAGCAGUGAGGAAUAUUGGACAAUGGGCGAGAGCCUGAUCCAGCCAUGCCGCGUGCAGGAAGACUGCCCUAUGGGUUGUAAACUGCUUUUACAGAGGAAGAACCACCCCCACGUGUGGGGGUUUGACGGUACUCUGCGAAUAAGGAUCGGCUAACUCCGUGCCAGCAGCCGCGGUAAUACGGAGGAUCCAAGCGUUAUCCGGAAUCAUUGGGUUUAAAGGGUCCGUAGGCGGAUUUAUAAGUCAGUGGUGAAAGUCUUCCGCUUAACGGGAGAACUGCCAUUGAUACUGUAGAUCUUGAGUUGUUAUGAAGUGGUUAGAAUGUGUAGUGUAGCGGUGAAAUGCAUAGAUAUUACACAGAAUACCGAUUGCGAAGGCAGAUCACUAAUAACACACUGACGCUGAUGGACGAAAGCGUAGGUAGCGAACAGGAUUAGAUACCCUGGUAGUCUACGCCGUAAACGAUGGUUACUAGCUGUCCGGCCUAAUUGAGGGCUGGGUGGU